UGCCAGCCGCCGCGGUAAUACGGAGGGUGCAAGCGUUAAUCGGAAUUACUGGGCGUAAAGCGCGCGUAGGCGGCUUUGUAAGUCGGAUGUGAAAGCCCCGGGCUUAACUUGGGAAUUGCAUUCGAUACUGCAGAGCUAGAGUAUGGUAGAGGGAAGUGGAAUUCCGGGUGUAGCGGUGAAAUGCGUAGAUAUCAGGAGGAACACCGAUGGCGAAGGCAUCUCUCUGAGCCGAUAUUGACGCUGAGGCGCGAAGGCGUGGGUAGCGAACGGGAUUAGAUA
rnacentral:rRNA from 1 species